CUGCAGUGAACUGAGUGGUGUAUAAAAGCUGUAUGAAGAUCUGCCUGCUCUGAAGAACUUGCACUCCAAGGACUUGAGAAGAUAUCAUCAAGGUUGAGAGCUUCGCAGGAAUCAAAGAGAUGCAAGAUUGUAUAUAAGUAUCAAGAAUAGGCAGAAUUAUAGUAGCAAACCCUAAAGAAAAA